CCUACGGGAGGCAGCAGUGGGGAAUAUUGCACAAUGGGCGAAAGCCUGAUGCAGCGACGCCGCGUGAGUGAAGAAGUAUUUCGGAAUGUAAAGCUCUAUCAGCAGGGAAGAAAAUGACGGUACCUAAUUAAGAAGCCCCGGCUAACUCCGUCCCAGCAGCCGCGGUCUUACGUCGGGGGCCAGCGUUAUCCGGAUUUACUGGGUGUAAAGGGAGCGUAGACGGCAGCACAAGUCUGGAGUGAAAUGCCGGGGCUUAACCCCGGAACUGCUUUGGAGACUGGGCAGCUAGAGUGCAGGAGAGGUAAGUGGAAUUCCUAGUGUAGCGGUGAAAUGCGUAGAUAUUAGGAGGAACACCAGUGGCGAAGGCGGCUUACUGGACUGUAACUGACGUUGAGGCUCGAAAGCGUGGGGAGCAAACAGGAUUAGAUACCCUAGUAGUC
rnacentral:rRNA from 1 species